rnacentral:lncRNA from 1 species
UUCACCCAAAUAAGGAGUAUGUUAAAUGUUUAAUAAGAUAUUGUACCUUUAAUCAUUAUAUAUAAAGACUAUAUAUUUCAUUAUGAUUAGCAUAUCUGACAUAUGUAUUGCCGGAACAUUAUCUAGGAACAACAUGUCGAGCGAAAUCUGGUUCUUACUCGUUAUUUUGUUAAAUUCUUUCUACAUACAGGAAAUUUAUUGUACAUGUUCCGAAGAUGGCACGUGCUGUAACAAGUUCGAAAUUAAAUGCGAAUACAAUAUCCUACUGAAACUUAUACAACUUAAGAAAAGACCGUUCAGCAGGAGAAUAAAAUCGCAUCACUAACAGAAGAACUUAAAGGUGCAAAAGACACAAUAGCUGAAUUGAACGAAACAGUCAUCAAAAAAGAAAAGUCUACUGAUGGUACCACAUACAUACGUUGGGGAAGAACAGAAUGUCCUAGUACAGCGUUUCUAGUAUACGAUGGAUACGCCGCUGGAUCUCAUUACAGUCAUACUGGAACCGCAACAAAUACAUUUAUGGCAAGUAUACAGAUGGAUUUCAAACCGCUCGUAGGCUUUAUGGUGCAGAAUAUGAAACAGACAUAUACAGCACAUGGAGUUACCUUCACGACCAUGAAAUUCCGUGUGCUGUUUGUCGCAUACCGCGCAACAACGUCCUCAUGGUACCUGGGAAAAAUGUGUGUCAUGAGAAUUACAUACUUGAAUAUAAAGGCUAUCUUCUGUCUGAAUACUUUGGUCACAACUCGCCGUCUGAAUUUGUAUGCGUCGAUGAUGACCCAGAAAUGUUAACAGGUGGAGGAGGGAACCAAAAUGAACGCCUGUUUUAUUUUGUAGAAGGAGAAUGUGGCUCACUGCAAUGUCCACCAUAUAAAAAUGGCUGGGAGCUUACAUGUGCCGUUUGUUCGUUUUCGCCAGGUGCUCAGUCUACAAAGCUUCAGCAGUACAUUUGACAUUAUUGAGUAUACAUAACUAGAUAAUAGUAUUGUUUAUUUUAUAUUCGUUGUAGUGUAAUGUUAUGCAUUAAAUAUCAAAAUUAUAUCUCUAUCGCAGCGGUGAAAUACAAGCCUAAAAUAACACUUCGAUAUAUUCAAAGACUAUUCAAAGGACUUUUAGCUUAAAUAUAUCGACUUUUUCUUUGUCUUGCUGUCUCAAUAUCUACGUUUACCUUUAGGUGUAUGUAGUAUUAAUAUCGGUACAUUGUAUUUUUGUGGCACAAGUUUAGAUUAAACUUAAUCUUACUUGUAAAUUCUUCAGCAAUAGAAAUACUAGGUAAUAACAGAACUAUUCAAAGUCUGCCGCAAUCCACAGUAAAAAAAACAUAAUCAGGGUUUUGCGAUUAUCUCCCAUUUCUUAAAUAUACACUUUCAUAGCAGUAGGUUUUGUGUGGUGCCGACGUUUGUUAUUAUAUUUGCUGUGUAAAAUGUUUAUGGUGUUUAAACAAUAUAUUAAAAAAUAUGCUUUACUUACAUUUCCGAUCUGAACUUUUGCAUGAUACCUCUUCUCCAAAACGCUGUUUACUCAAGCUGUGAUUCAUAUAAAAUUGCAAACGUUCAAAACAGUGAUCUUAUCGAUAGGCUGAAGUUCAUUGUUCAAGACUUAUAAAGGCGUCGGCACUUCCCUGGGUAAUGCAAGCAAUAUCUUUACAAUGUGUAUGUAUGUGCUCAUGAACAAAACUGUAAAAGUAAAUUUAAAGAAAUAAUGAUUUAUAUUUGAUAUAUGCCCGAAGGUACGUAUUAUGUUAAGACGCCGGUGUCCGUCUUUCUGUCCGUCCGUCCGUUAGCAAUUUCGUGUUUGCUCCGUAUCUCUUGAAUCCCAGGAAGGAUUUCGAAUAGAGUUGACAAGAAUGUUCACGACAUCAAGACGACGUGCAUAACGCAUGUUUUGUGUGGCUCACUUCAAGGUCAUGGUCACACUUUGAGGUCUAAGAUCAUAUGACUUUGUUCCGUGACCGCUCUGCAUCCCUUAAACAGCUUGGUGGAUUUUACAGAAACUUUAUUUCAAAUAAUCACCACAUCAAGAAGACGUGCAGAGCGCAAGGUCACACUUAGGGAGUGAAAGGUUAUACCUUCGGGCGUAUUUUACUCCGCAUCGCGGUGUUCUUGAUCAAUUGUGUGAAAAAAUGCAAUUUAAGUUGAAACAGUUUAAUACUUGAAAGAUUAUACAGUACUGCGAUAUACGGACAUUUAACUUGGAAAUAAAUGAAUGCGUAAGAACAAUCAUUAUAAGACACAAAAUCAUAUCGACGAAGUCAAAUUUAGGUUUACUAGUGUUAGAGUUUGAGCUUUUCACUAAAGAGUUUCAAUGUUAGUUAAGAUGCUUCGAAAAGUUUAUUACAAACGUCAUGGUAAAGGUGAAUAUGUAUGUGCUGACCCUGACAGUUCUAAAAGUCGUAGGCAACUUUUUAUUUAUUUAAAAAUAGCAUUUAAACAUUAUCAAUUCCGCACUACAUCUACAUCAAUAGCAACCCCAGAUGAGUUUUAAAUUCAACAAAUGAGCCGCGCCAUGAGAAAACCAACAUACGGUAGUGCGUUUGCUACCAGCAUAGAUCUAGACCACCCUGCACAUCAGCGCAGUCUGCUCAGGAUCCAUGCUAUUUACUUUUAAAUCCUAUUGCAAUUAGAGAAACCGUUAGCAAACAGCAUGGAUACUGACCAGACUGCGCGGAUGCUGGUCGCAAAGCCACUAUUUUGAUUUUCACAUGGCGCGGCUCAAAUAUUGUUUACGAACACAUUAAACAUCUCAUUUUCAAAACUUCCUCAUAACUUUGUCAAGCAAUGAUCUAUUGGCUGUUUAUGUAGCCAAACGCUUUCCUAUACCUCUUCUUCAUAUACGAAUGAGUACAAAUAAUACUGUAUAAUAAAUGUCUCAAUAGCCCGCGAACUAGCAAUGUAUCAAGUGACAUUAUACUAUUGUUACUAUAUAUAUGUAUUGUAUAUUGAUGUUAAUAUUCUUCAUAGAAUAUAUGUUGUACACAAUAAAUACUUUGAUUUAUUUCC